rnacentral:rRNA from 1 species
AUGCAGUCGAGCGAAUGGAUUAAGAGCUUGCUCUUAUGAAGUUAGCGGCGGAGGGAGAGUAACACGUGGGUAACCUGCCCAUAAGACUGGGAUAACUCCGGGAAACCGGGGCUAAUACCGGAUAACAUUUUGAACUGCAUGGUUCGAAAUUGAAAGGCGGCUUCGGCUGUCACUUAUGGAUGGACCCGCGUCGCAUUAGCUAGUUGGUGAGGUAACGGCUCACCAAGGCAACGAUGCGUAGCCGACCUGAGAGGGUGAUCGGCCACACUGGGACUGAGACACGGCCCAGACUCCUACGGGAGGCAGCAGUAGGGAAUCUUCCGCAAUGGACGAAAGUCUGACGGAGCAACGCCGCGUGAGUGAUGAAGGCUUUCGGGUCGUAAAACUCUGUUGUUAGGGAAGAACAAGUGCUAGUUGAAUAAGCUGGCACCUUGACGGUACCUAACCAGAAAGCCACGGCUAACUACGUGCCAGCAGCCGCGGUAAUACGUAGGUGGCAAGCGUUAUCCGGAAUUAUUGGGCGUAAAGCGCGCGCAGGUGGUUUCUUAAGUCUGAUGUGAAAGCCCACGGCUCAACCGUGGAGGGUCAUUGGAAACUGGGAGACUUGA